rnacentral:lncRNA from 10 species
CUUGGGCCCACACAGCAAACCUUUGGGUAGCAACGAGUUCUAGAAAAAUGGAGCCUAAGGAGUCCAGAUUGUUUUUCCUUGAAAUACCAAAGCAACUACCCAGUCCUCUGCAUGAAAGAGCCCUCCCUCAAGAGCUUGGAAGCAACACAAAAUGGGGAGUAGACCAGGUCUACUAUCAGCACAGAGAUAAGAGACUCUGAACAGAGAAGACGGAUCCAAGGGGGACAGCCUGGAGUCGGGGGACCCAGCUGGAGGCCAGCACAGUUGCCUGGGCGAGAGGUGAGCCCUCCCUCCUGGAGAGGUGAGCCCUUCAGAGGAAGAGAUGAGAAACGGAAACCCCUGACUCAUUACCAUCGGCCUUGGCUUGCUGUUCCAUUGGCAGCCCUUUCUACCUGUGAUCAACACAUGCCUAUCUAGCAGCAUACUAACUCUGUCUCUCAUUCUAGAGCACGCAUCCGCCCAGAGUUAAUAAGUUUUAGAAUGUCGGCGUCCUGUCAUUGCAUCAUCCACAGAUUCAGUGACCAGAGAGGAAGAAACACAGGGAAGCUUUAUAUUAAUAAAGGUCUUGCGUUGAAUAUUCCUAAGCAACUGUCAAAAGUAAGCAGUUCGUAUGCUUCUUUUCUGGUGACAAUAAUAGACUGGGCCCCAUCCCUUCCCAGAGCUCCCGAUAAGCAACUGGAUCCAGUCUCCACUCCAGAACCUGAAUGGACUUUUUGCUCAAUACAGCUACUGCUGGCCAGUCAGCUUCAUGGGACAUGUGCCAAGAGGUCUUCCAUUCCAUCUUGAGUAAACAAAUUAGAGUCCUAGCAAAAACUCUUCCCAUGAGCCCUUUAACUGACCUAAAUUCAACAUAUGUCAUAAUCUAGGAGGAAGCACCAAAAUGGAAAACUACUUUAAUUCACAGAAGCUAAAGGAGCAAUUGUAAUGUAAGUGGUUUCUACAAAGUAUAUAUGCAGGAUCAGCAAGCAUGGGAAACGCACACCAGCCCCUGCAGGGAUUCUGGGCUACGAGUGCAUGAAGGCAGAGUCGAGACUGUGGAUUCUGGAAGAAGAAUCCCCUUGAGAGAGCAUCUGAUUCAAAAUUCAUCCAUAUAUGACUUAAAAGCCACCCAGGUUGUCAUAUCAUCUGUAAUGAUUAUUCACUAGAGCCAAGAGUGUUUAUAUUCUGAAGAUCAGAACAAGAUUCCCAACAAAACAGUAAGGGAGCAUUUCAGGGAGCAGUGGGAAUAUGUGUGGGAUGAAGCCAAAUUAUAAAGUCAUUAUUAGGGUGGGUAUGGUGGCUCACACCUGUAAUCCCAACACUUUGGAAGGCCAAGGCAAGAAGAGCACAUGAGCCCAGGAGUUCAAGUUCAGCCAGAGCAACCCUCAGGCUGAGGCAGGAGGGUCACUUGACCCAGGGAGGUCGAUGCUGCAGUGAGCUAUGGUAGCACCACUGCACUUCAGCCUGGACAACAGAGUGAGACCCUGUCUCAAAAAAAAAAAAAAAAAAGUCAUUACUUUAAAGGGCUUCCAAAGUCUAUAUAGAAUGAACUGCCAGCAGCCCAAGGAACUAUAAAUGGAGCUCCAUGUAUUUAUGCAAAUGUUGAGGGCAUAUAUUCAUUUCAAAGAGUGUUUGGUUCCUGCUGUAUUAUCAAUGCCUGUCAG